GACGAACGCUGGCGGCGUGCUUAACACAUGCAAGUCGAACGGUGAAGCGCUUUCCUUUUUGGUUGGUGUGGAUGAGUGGCGAACGGGUGAGUAACACGUGAGUAACCUGCCCCCUUCUUCUGGAUAACCGCAUGAAAGUGUGGCUAAUACGGGAUAUUCUGCGCCUGCUGCAUGGUGGGUGUGGGAAAGAUUGUGGCUUUGGGUGUUUUCGGUGGGGGAUGGGCUCGCGGCCUAUCAGCUUGUUGGUGGGGUGAUGGCCUACCAAGGCGGUGACGGGUAGCCGGCCUGAGAGGGUGGACGGUCACACUGGGACUGAGACACGGCCCAGACUCCUACGGGAGGCAGCAGUGGGGAAUACUGCACAAUGGGCGCAAGCCUGAUGCAGCGACGCCGCGUGAGGGAGGGAGGCCUUCGGGGUGUGAACCUCUUUCGCCAGUGAAGCAGGCCUGCUCCUUGUGGGUGGGUUGACGGUAGCUGGAUAAGAAGCGCCGGCUAACUACGUG
rnacentral:rRNA from 1 species